AUUGAACGCUGGCGGCAUGCCUUACACAUGCAAGUCGAACGGCAGCAUGAUCUAGCUUGCUAGAUUGAUGGCGAGUGGCGAACGGGUGAGUAAUACAUCGGAACGUGCCCUGUAGUGGGGGAUAACUAGUCGAAAGAUUAGCUAAUACCGCAUACGACCUGAGGGUGAAAGUGGGGGACCGCAAGGCCUCAUGCUAUAGGAGCGGCCGAUGUCUGAUUAGCUAGUUGGUGGGGUAAAGGCCCACCAAGGCGACGAUCAGUAGCUGGUCUGAGAGGACGAUCAGCCACACUGGGACUGAGACACGGCCCAGACUCCUACGGGAGGCAGCAGUGGGGAAUUUUGGACAAUGGGCGAAAGCCUGAUCCAGCAAUGCCGCGUGUGUGAAGAAGGCCUUCGGGUUGUAAAGCACUUUUGUCCGGAAAGAAAUGGCUCUGGUUAAUACCUGGGGUCGAUGACGGUACCGGAAGAAUAAG
rnacentral:rRNA from 1 species